rnacentral:rRNA from 1 species
CCCUUAGAGUUUGAUCCUGGCUCAGAACGAACGUUGGCGGCGUGGAUUAGGCAUGCAAGUCGAACGAAUGUCAGUCCCUCACCUUGUUCUUGACCGGCGAGCCGACGGGCGUAAGCCCGGGGGUUCUUCGUGCAAGGAUGAGGUGAGGGGCUGGCGGAAGUGGCGAAAGGGGCAGUAAUGCGUGGGUAACCUACCCUGGGGACCGGGAUAGCCAUUCUAACGAGUGGGUAAUACCGGGCAAUGUAGCUGAGGGGCAUCUCUUGGCUACCAGAUGAAUUUCGCCCUGGGAGGGGCUCACGUCGUAUUAGCUAGUUGGUGGGGUAAUGGCCUACCAAGGCAAAGAUGCGUAGCGGGUGUGAGAGCACGACCCGCGCCACUGGCACUGAGACACUGGCCAGACACCUACGGGUGGCUGCAGUCGAGGAUCUUCGGCAAUGGGCGAAAGCCUGACCGAGCGACGCCGCGUGUGCGAUGAAGGCCUUCGGGUUGUAAAGCACUGUCGAGGGGGAUAAAAGCGCAAGCUUGAUUGAUCCCUGGAGGAAGCACGGGCUAAGUUCGUGCCAGCAGCCGCGGUAAGACGAACCGUGCGAACGUUGUUCGGAUUCACUGGGCUUAAAGGGCGCGUAGGCGGCUUGCCAAGUCAGGGGUGAAAUCUUUCGGCUCAACCGGAAAAGUGCCUUUGAUACUGGCGAGCU